rnacentral:tRNA from 1 species
GCCCUGGUAGUGUAGCCCGGCCUAUCAUGCAACCCUGUCACGGUUGCGACCCGAGUUCAAAUCUCGGCCAGGGC